GACAGAGGGUGCAAACGUUGUUCGGAAUCACUGGGCGUAAAGCGCACGUAGGCGGCUUUCUAAGUCAGGGGUGAAAUCCUGGAGCUCAACUCCAGAACUGCCUUUGAUACUGGAGAGCUAGAGUCCGGAAGAGGUGAGUGGAACUGCGAGUGUAGAGGUGAAAUUCGUAGAUAUCCGCAGGAACAUCCGAGGCGAAAGCGGCUCGCUGGAUCGCAACUGACGCUGAGGGACGAAAGCUAGGGGAGCAAACAGG
rnacentral:rRNA from 1 species